UAAAUGACAUAGCAUUUCACUUAAAGAAAGCACUUUACCACUUCUUUUUGACAUAUCUGAAUUGCCAGCUUCACUACUUUGUGCUUUGGGGCCAUUAGUAAUUUAUAUAAGUGUUACUUUAACAAAAGCACU